rnacentral:rRNA from 1 species
GAUGAACGCUGGCGGCGUGCUUAACACAUGCAAGUCGAACGGGAAACCUUUUAUUGAAGCUUCGGCAGAUUUAAUUUGUUUCUAGUGGCGGACGGGUGAGUAACGCGUGGGUAACCUGCCCUAUACAGGGGGAUAACAACCAGAAAUGGUUGCUAAUACCGCAUAAGCGCACAGGACCGCAUGGUCUGGUGUGGAAAACUCCGGUGGUAUAGGAUGGACCCGCGUUGGAUUAGCCAGUUGGCAGGGUAACGGCCUACCAAAGCGACGAUCCAUAGCCGGCCUGAGAGGGUGAACGGCCACAUUGGGACUGAGACACGGCCCAGACUCCUACGGGAGGCAGCAGUGGGGAAUAUUGCACAAUGGGGGAAACCCUGAUGCAGCGACGCCGCGUGAAGGAAGAAGUAUCUCGGUACGUAAACUUCUAUCAGCAGGGAAGAUAGUGACGG